rnacentral:rRNA from 1 species
GACGAACGCUGGCGGCGUGCUUAACACAUGCAAGUCGAACGGAAAGGCCCUGCUUUUGUGGGGUGCUCGAGUGGCGAACGGGUGAGUAACACGUGAGUAACCUGCCCUUGACUGUGGGAUAACUUCAGGAAACUGGGGCUAAUACCGGAUAGAAGCUCCUGCUGCAUAGUGGGGGAUGGAAAGUUUCGGCGGUUGGGGCUGGACUCGCGGCUUAUCAGCUUGUUGGUGGGGUAGUGGCUUACCAAGGCUUUGACGGGUAGCCGGCCUGAGAGGGUGACCGGCCACCUUGGGACUGAGAUACGGCCCAGAAUCCUACGGGAGGCAGCAGGGGGGAACAUGGCAGAAUGGGGCGAAGCCUGAUGCAGCAACGCCGCGUGCGGGAUGACGGCUUUCGGGUUGUAAACCGCUUUCGCCUGUGACGAAGCGUGAGUGACGGUAAUGGGUAAAGAAGCACCGGCUAACUACGUG